UACUGUCAAGGCGUAAGAAAUUUUUCGGAAAGAAAAAAGAAAAUAAUUAUUCUUUCUGUGAAUUUUCAAAUAUUUUAUAAAAAUUUCAAAUUCAAGGAAAAUUCUCAAUUUCGUGGAAAAAGCAAGAGGCUGCCGAUUCUGUGGAGAAUUGGCACAUUCUACAUCCAUCUUAACGUCUUUGAUUUUCAAAGGACUUUAUGCUGCUGAUUUUGUACGGCCGCUGGAAUUUUUAAAGGAUUAUUUCAUCCAUCAAUUAAGAAGUCAUUAAAAACAAACACGGAUUUGUCAAAUUUUAAUUCUGACCCGGAUUUGAGCAAUUUUUAUAAAAAAAAAACCAGACACAACAAAAAGGAAUUAUCGUUUAGAGUCCCGCUAAAGCGGAGAUUCCAUUUAUAAUGGCGAUUUCUUAGGGAGAACAUUCAUGAAAGCUUUUGGCCCAAAAUGAUGUUCUCCAAGAAUUAAACGGAAUUUUGUAACCAUACUUACAUGAUGACCAUAAAGAAGACAAACCUCUAAUUUUAAUUUACAUCCUAAAAUAUUUUUUUUUUUUUAGAAAAUCAAUACACUUUAUUUUAACCAGGCGUUUUGCAAACUUGAAUUAUAAAUUAAUAAUUACAGCCGCAGUUUAAUGUGUGAUUCCCAGUCAUCAGGCCUGCUAAAACAAUUUUAAUUAAAUAAUCUUAUAACAUUUGUUCCUUAUUCUUAUAACAUA